AGAGGAAUAAUACUUAGAAUUUAGAAAAAAAAUGAAUAUUUAAGAUAUAAAUAAUUUAUAAUUAAAUACUGAACAAAGAGAGAACAGAAAAGAAAAUAAUGGCAAAGAGGAGGAACAUUUGAUGUAAGCAGUGUGUGAGUAAAUACAAACUCUGAAAAAUAAUAAUUAUAAAUGAAAAGAAUAAGACAAAAGGUAAAAAGUAAAAUGAUGAGUGUGAAAAAAAGAGUAAGAAAUAUGUACUGUAAACUUGAAACAGUUAUAGAAAAUGCUAGAGAAAAUAAAACAAUGUAAAGAAAGACCAACUGGUGAGAAAACACUAGAAUAAAUUAGGAGAAAAAUAAAUAAGUUAAGCACAAGCUGAAGCUAAAGAAAUGGAAUUAGAAGAAAACUAACAAAAUAGAAAAUUAAUACAAAAUACAAAUGAUUUAGUAAUAAAUAUUUAAAAAACCAGCUGUUGGGCAGCAAAGAGAAGAACAUAGAUGAGAGGAGUCUUUAUUUGAUAAAGGAAACAUGGGAAAGUGGAAAAUGUUUAGAUAAUAACUAAGCAAAUGUAUAUAUUAAAUUAAGGGGCACGGAGAUGGACUUUGAAGGGUCCUUGUCUUUUCGCCUGCCGGACAUUCCUGAAGGCACUGGGAAAUAGAAUAAGGUGUUUGGAGAAACACAAGGAGCAAAUUGUUGAUUGUGGACUCUUAUUACAUGAACUAAAGCAGUGAGCCAGGCACUGCAUACAGAGAACUGCUGAGACUUGACCCAUCCACAUAUGUUCAAGAGACACUUAAAGAAGGAGAAACAAGAGACUGAUGAACUGAUCAAAAAAGCUAAGCUUUCCAGCAACAUCAGCUGGGUGAAAGAGAAGCCAUCACCAAGAGGAAGGAGGAAUGCGCUACACUUUAACUCCUUCAAAAUGCAGGAAAUGUGGGGAUUCCUGAAUGCAACAAUGCAAAGACUGCACUAUCUAUGAAACAGUUGCCUCGGGGUGCGAGGGAGAGAGAUUGGCUGUGGCCUAGCAAACUCAAUCUCAAAAGCCCAGUAGAACUAUGAUGCAAAUCAAGUACAUUGCAAAUUAAAACAAAAGUGGACCCUUUCUUGAAUCAAAUUAGACUCCUGUCAAAUUAGUCAGGAAGGAAGGUAUUAUAUAAAUUAGGACGUCACAUUUAUUAAAAGGAAUUUGAACUAAAUAAGGAUUACAGAAUAAAAAGAUAAUAUCUAUUAAUUAUAACAGAUAGAAGAUGUAAGUAAGACAAUUGGUAAUGGGGAUCAUACAUUAAGUUAAACAUUUCUGAAGCAGGGCUAGUAAAAAGCAGAAUGUCUAUGAAAUGUAUGAUCCUGAAAGAGAUUUAGACUUAGAAAAUUAAUACCAGGAAGAAAUUAAAGGAAAAAAAGAACAGCACAUUAGAAUAAGUCAACAGUGAGAAGCGCUAAGUGUAAUAAAAUAUGAUUUUGGGAAAAAAAGGGGGUUAAUAUAAUAGAGUUUGUUUCGCAUGUAUAGCCAUAUAACUGAAAAAUUGGGAAGUAAAUUUGAGGAAUAAUGAGGAAAAAAAGAGCAAAACAGACCAGAUAGAUUCAGUGAUUUUACAAAAAAUUACAUAAACGCUGUGGACCCAUUCAGUAUGAUGGACUUGCCUUAAGAAGUAAAUAUCAAGAGAAAGAGAAACAAUAAUGAAUACAACAUCUGAAUGAACAAAUAGCUCAGAAGUUAAAUGAUUUAAACAAGUGUAGUUAAAUACUUAAAGAAUUAUUAUCAUUGCAGGACUUGAAUUUAUAAUUAGAAAAUUAACCAGUACAGUGAGGGUUAAAAUUAAACCAGAUGCACAUCUGCAGAGAAAAUAAGAAAAAUGCUGAAAUGAUUACAAAAACAAUAUUGGAGUUUUAUUGAGAGUAGGAUUAUUAACACCUAGUGAUUAUAAUAUGAAAUAAAUCAUUGGAUAUUUUCGAUUUAAAAUAUAUUUCAAGUCAGGCAUGACUGUGUAUGUAACUAAUAAGAUUUGAUUUUAAUUUAAAUUAAUUUUUUUAAUUAUGCUGCAUUAAAGCCGGUAAAAAGCAGAUGCUAUAAGAACAAUCAAUGAGAGAAAAUCUUCCAGCUGAGGUUCCUACAUUUUAUGAACAAAUGUUCCUCCUGAUGUCAAAUAUUGUUAAGUAAUUCAUUUCUGUUCAGCUUAUUUUAGGUAAUUAGCAGAGGAGGGUAGGUACCAAUUAGUAUUUACAUUUGCUGGUGAAAAUUAUACAUAUAAUGAAGUGCCUGAAGAUCUUAUGAUGAAUAGUAGUUUGUUACACUAUGUAGCUGAUUUAAUUAUCUCCAUAUAGACUUAGCUCAGUUAAAAUACAGAAAACAUAUGAUGACUUUUAGGGAGGAUUUUAGCAUUGAUGGAACAGAGAAUUUUACAAAAAAAAAACAGUACUGGAGAAAAUUUAUGAAACAGGAAAGACUGCAAAAAUACAGUUCUGAAUUAACAGGAAAGAAAGAUACAAUAAAGGCAUUUGAGGUGAUGAAAGAUAAAUUAGUCUGUCAUUGAAGAAAACACUGUAACAGAUUUGAAAGUAAAUAAGCGACAGGAUGUGAGGUAGUAAGUCACCUAUAGUGCUUUUAGAGCUACAAUCUCAAUUAAAGAACAUUGUGAAAAUUAAACAACAAACAGAUCUCUGUGAACAAUCUAGCAUGAAAGGGAGGAAAAGACACAGUCUAUAGCCUAUACAUAAAGGAAUAAUUGCACCAACAGCAUUUCUAAGUACAGUAUACUUAUUGCAGAUGCACAUGAUUUUGAUCAAGGGUAAAGUAUUAGGAAAAAUUAAACAGCAAGGAGAUUGGUCUCCUUAUUAAAUGCAGCGAUUAGUGAGUUUUGCCCAUGUUACAUCUGUGCUAAAUAUAAUGUGAGGAAAGGGACAGCAACCAGUACCUUAAGUGACAUUCAAGCAUUUAGUGAGGGUUUUGAGGUUAUACUAAAAUGAGUACAAGGCAAGAAAUACAUGUUUGUACUACUUAACAGGUUAGGAUUAAAAACAGGUUGUGGUGAUUAAUUAUAUUUCUAAUAAGAAAAACUAUGAUUUCUACAUCUGGAAUAACAUCAGAAAUAAUUUCAAAUAAUGGAUGUGCAUUCAUAAAGUAUUUAGAGUAAUUGAAGUAAACUAAAAAUAGCUAAAUAAGUAAAUGAAUAAGCAAACAAAUAAAUAAAAAUGUUAAAGAAGUACUGUUAAUUAAGAAUAAAUCAAAGGCUAGAGUGAAAUUAUCAUGCACAAUCACAAGGACUGGUCAAAAGCUACAAGAAGAUCCAUUAGGGCCAAAGCUUUUUUUAAAAAUAUGUGAAAAUGCUAAACUUGAUUAAGUUUGGAUUAUUACACUAGACUGAUGUGUAAACAGAUGCUUUAAUGAGCUUUUACAUGUACACUAACAGAAACAGGAACUUAACACUGCAUGGAACGCUAAUGUCCUGUCUAAUACAUUGGCAAAUAAGAAUUUUGUCUUAUAAGAAAAACUAACUGCCAUGUAUGAAGCUGUUCAUUCACAGGAACAGAACAGUGAACGACAGAAGGAAGAUGUUCCUGCUGCUGCUGAUGAUGAUGCAAAUGAAGAUGAGUGAAAGCCUAGAGGAGUUCAUCGAAGCUGCCGGAGCUGAUAUCAGAUGUACACGAGAAAAGAGGGAAGAUGACUACGGGUCAAGGGACACUCCAGUAUCCAGCAACAAAGGAGAAGAAGAGCAGAAUCUACUGGAGGUUUAAAACCCCACUGUCUGCUCCAACACCAGACAGUACUCAGAAGUACCUCUGGCGACGUGGGAUGAAACAUCAGAUAUAGUUCUUUUACAGGGGCUAUGAAUGUUCUGCAAAUAUUGAGAUUUUAUUUUGUGUGUUGAUUAAUCAAGUAUAUAUAUAUAUAUAUAUAUAACCAGUGCUGUGAGCACAGCUGACAAAGCAUAUGUUUUAACAUGACUAAUAAUUUUUGAGUGUUGAACUCCCCAAGAAAGUAUUUAGUUAGGGAGAGUGGGAUCUUUUACUCCUUCUAAAGCCAAAAGUGGAGGGAGAUGUUUGGUUCCGUUUCUCCUCUGAAGUGCGGCGCAAGGAUGCUGACAAUUGAUAAGGAUGUAGAUGGGCAACUUUUUUGGUUGCACAAGAAUGUUAAAAACUGAGCGAAAUGUUAGAUUCUUAAGUUGCACUUCAGCGAGGGAUUUAGGAAAGGGACUUUUUUGAUAAAGCCCCUGAGGGGGGAUUUAUAGUGGAACUUUUAUUAUGUAAUCACUAUAUAUAGUGGAACUUUUAUUAUGUAAUCACUAUAUAAUCUGCCACUAUUAAAAUAUAGAUUACUAUUAAAAUAUACUGUUAAAACUUAUAGAAAGACCUAUAUUCAAGUGAUGCAGAAGAGACAUACAAACAUGCAAGGCCUUAUAAUUGAGGGCCUUACAAUUGAAGCACAGCAGGUCAUGCGCCAAAGUGAGAACAUUAUGACAGAGCGUAUGCAAUACAUUUAGACAAUGUAUAUGUUGAACAAGACAAAAACAACCCUCGCCAAAAUAGCAUACAUAAGGAGAAUCAUUUAGAAAGUAUGGAAACAACAUGAUCAUAUGCAAACACAUGAUUGUAAGCACAUGCUAUGUGACCUUUAAGAUAUGUAAAAACAGAAAAACAUACAGCCAUUAAUUAAAAAGCUAGGAUCCUAUUGGAGCCGGGAAUAGGGUGAUGUUAAAUCAUAUCUCAUGAUACCUAUGGAUAAGAAACUGUAUAUAAACUGUGGGUUUUUGGACAUUGAGUGGGAGAGAGCUCGAUCGACCAUCUCUGCUGUAACAAUAAACUGCUUCAACUUGAGAA